rnacentral:lncRNA from 1 species
UUUUGAACACUAGACACAAACUUGGACGAAAAUUGGUUUUAACUUGACCUAAGACACUUAAAAACACAAACGAAAGUGAUUUCUAACCACUAUGACUCAACCAAGAAAAGGGGGAUUGAUUUUGGACGAAUUUAACUUUUAAAACAAGAACUUUGAAAACAAACUUUGACAAAAACGUUUUUGAUAUAGAUUAGGAUGGUGAAAGGCUAGUUAGAAGGUUCCUUCUCCACACAUGAAACAUAUGCAUACGACUCGAUUUCCAAUUACUCUUUCAACAAACCAUGAAUGACAAUGCCCCAAAUUAACUAGAUUGACCAAUUAAUUCUCAGAUUUCCCUAGAUUCAUUGAAUUGAACGGGAUACGCAUUACAACCAAAUUAUUCUUAUCAAGGACCCUAACUAUGGAAUACGCAUGAUAGAGACACAUAUC